UAUCAAACCAGUCUUCUGCCCUCUACACUGGCUUUCCUUAGAAUUUUGAACCAGGCUCAAUGUCUCAGUCCUUAUCUUCAAAGUGCACCAUGGCCUGGGCACCGAAGAGCUAAAAGACCACGUAAAGCUCCAGGGUAAAGACUGUGGUUGACAACUAUGCUCUUAUGGCACAGUGGAACUCUCAACAAUAAGAGUCAGGACAUCUUUCAGGAUGGUGGACAAUGAAGGCUAAUCAGUGUGAUGGUAGAUUCCUGGUUCCUAGCAGGUAUGAAGUGCUAUCAUGGUCUCACUGGAAAACUCAUCUGAAAACCUCUCGUCUUCCUUGCCCGUGCCCCUUCAGCUGGUAUCUUACUAUAAAAAUCACAAUUCAUUCCAAGAGACAGUUUGUACAUGACCUAGGCCACAACAAAUUGGUUGCUUUUUCUCAAUUC